rnacentral:misc_RNA from 1 species
CAACCAUCAAGCCCCCGGCUUGUGUUGGGGACCUGCGGCUGCCGCAGGCCCUGAAAACCAGUGGCGGGCUCGCUGUCACCCCGAGCGUAGUAGUUACAUCUCGCUCUGGGCGUGCUGCGGGUUCCGGCCGUUAAAAGCCUUAUUUACCCAA